rnacentral:misc_RNA from 1 species
CUGAAUAUGCUUGCAUAAUAUCAUGAUUAUUACAUAUAUAAUAAGCACAUAUGAAAUUUCAAAACAUUUGCUUGCUCUCCCUCUACAAUAGGCAUCUGAUAAGCAUUUGAAAAAGUGCAGAUAUGGAGGAAAGGGUGACCAACAUGCUCAAAAUCAUCGAAAACGAUGGGGACUCUUUUGCAGAAAGAGCCGAAAUGUACUAUAGGAAGAGGCCAGAGCUUAUUGGACAUGUGGAAGACUCCUACCGCUCGUAUCGAGCAUUGGCGGAGAGAUAUAAUCUGCUAUCAAGAGAGAUGCAAAGUGCCAAUCGCACCAUUGCGGCUGUCUUCCCAGAACAAGUUCAAUAUGAAGUGGAUGAUUAUGAUGACAAUGAAGCGAACAACCCCGCCUCCACUUCUUCUGAUGAUGCCAAGAAGCCAUGCAAUGUUUCCAAACGAAAAGUUCCGG